GGGUCCGCACAAGCGGUGGAGCAUGUGGUUUAAUUCGAUAAUACGCGAGGAACCUUACCUAGGCUAGAAUGCGAGUGACAUCCAGAGAGAUCUGGAGUUCUUCGGACACAAAGCAAGGUGCUGCAUGGUUGUCGUCAGCUCGUGCCGUGAGGUGUUGGGUUAAGUCCCGCAACGAGCGCAACCCCUGUUUUUAGUUGCCAGCAAGUAAUGUUGGGGACUCUAGAAAGACUGCCUGCGUAAGCAGAGAGGAAGGAGGGGACGACGUCAAAUCAGCAUGGCCCUUAUGCCUAGGGCUACACACGUGCUACAAUGGCGUAUACAAAGGGUAGCGAACCAGUGAUGGUAAGCCAA
rnacentral:rRNA from 1 species